GACGAACGCUGGCUUCGUGCCUAAUACAUGCAAGUAGGACGCAGUUGCGAACGGGUGAGUAACGCGUAGGUCACUGCCUAUUAGAGGGGGAUAACUAUUGGAAACGAUAGCUAAUACCGCAUACUAGUAGAUGGACCUGCUUUGUAUUAGCUAGUAGGUAGGGUAAUGGCCUACCUAGGCGAGGAUACAUAGCCGACCGGGGAGGGUGAUCGGCCACACUGUGACGGAGACAAGGCCAAGACUCCUACGGGAGGCAGCAGUAGGGAAUCUUCGGAAAGGGGGGGAACGCUGACAGAGCAACGCCGCGUGAGUGAAGAAGGUUUUCGGAUCGGAAAGCUCUGUUGGUAAGGAAGCGGUACUUAACCAGAAAGGGACGGCUAACUACGUGCCAGAAGCCGCGGUAAUAC
rnacentral:rRNA from 1 species